rnacentral:rRNA from 1 species
AACGAACGCUAGCGGUAUGCUUAACACAUGCAAGUCGGACGGACUAAUCAGGGCUUGCUCCAGUUCGUUAGUGGCAGACGGGUGAGUAACACGUGGGAAUCUGCCCAUCAGUACGGAAUAACUUUUAGAAAUAAAAGCUAAUACCGUAUAUUCUCUACAGAGGACAGAUUUAUCGCUGAUGGAUGGGCCCGCGUCAGAUUAGGGAGUUGGUGUGGUAACGGCUAACCAAGCCGACGAUCUGUAGCUGGUCUGAGAGGUUGAUAAGCCAGGCUGGUGAUGAGACACAGACUAGAAUCGUACGGGAGGGAGCGGUGGAGAAUAUAGGGGGAGGAAGGAUAGCGUAAUACAGCCAUGCCGGGGGAGUGAUACAGGCCGUAGGGUUGUAAAGCUGUUUUAGCAAGAGAGAUAAUGACGGUACUUGCAGAAGAAGCCCCGGCUAACUACGUG